rnacentral:rRNA from 1 species
GCGGAAGGAUCAUUACCGAGUUUUCGAGCUCCGGCUCGACUCUCCCACCCUUUGUGAACGUACCUCUGUUGCUUUGGCGGCUCCGGCCGCCAAAGGACCUUCAAACUCCAGUCAGUAAACGCAGACGUCUGAUAAACAAGUUAAUAAACUAAAACUUUCAACAACGGAUCUCUUGGUUCUGGCAUCGAUGAAGAACGCAGCGAAAUGCGAUAAGUAAUGUGAAUUGCAGAAUUCAGUGAAUCAUCGAAUCUUUGAACGCACAUUGCGCCCCUUGGUAUUCCGGGGGGCAUGCCUGUUCGAGCGUCAUUACAACCCUCAAGCUCUGCUUGGAAUUGGGCACCGUCCUCACUGCGGACGCGCCUCAAAGACCUCGGCGGUGGCUGUUCAGCCCUCAAGCGUAGUAGAAUACACCUCGCUUUGGAGCGGUUGGCGUCGCCCGCCGGACGAACCUUCUGAACUUUUCUCAAGGUUGACCUCGGAUCAGGUAGAGCCCCAUCC